rnacentral:rRNA from 1 species
GACGAACGCUGGCGGCGUGCUUAACACAUGCAAGUCGAACGGAAAGGCCCUUCGGGGUACUCGAGCGGCGAACGGGUGAGUAACACGUGGGUGAUCUGCCCUGCACUUUGGGAUAAGCCUGGGAAACUGGGUCUAAUACCGGAUAGGACUACGGCCAGCAUGGGUUGUGGUGGAAAGCUUUUGCGGUGUGGGAUGGGCCCGCGGCCUAUCAGGUUGUUGGUGAGGUUACGGCUCACCAAGGCGACGACGGGUAGCCGGCCUGAGAGGGUGACCGGCCACACUGGGACUGAGAGACGGCCCAGACUCCUACGAGAGGCAGCAGUGGGGAAUAUUGCACAAUGGGCGCAAGCCUGAUGCAGCGACGCCGCGUGAGGGAUGACGGCCUUCGGGUUGUAAACCUCUUUCGCCAGGGACGAAGCGCAAGUGACGGUACCUGGAGAAGAAGGACCGGCCAACUACGUGCCAGCAGCCGCCGUAAAAC